GGAAAGCCUCUUGUUCUUGAGGUGGUGAGAAAAGCAGAGCAACAGUUAGCGAACGACCUGUAAGUUAGAUACUCAUUAGUAAUAUAGAAAGACUUCGAUUGUUUCAGGAAAAACAAAUUGACGUUCUUAAAAUAUUUAAUUUUACAUUUUUUCAUAAAGUACUAGGGUCGCCCCGCCCUACGGGCGGGAUAUACUAUACUUCUACGUAGAUAUUGUAAACCUUUAUCAAUGUUGCUAUUAUGAAAAUAGUUUUCUAACCCUCAGAUGUAGUGUGCCUUAAUGUCCCUUGCUAAAUAUUUUAAAAUUAAAUCGUAGUAUUUGUGGAACGAUGUUAAAAAAGAUAGUGAAAAAAUUUUAAUUGAAAUUCAUGUAAAUUUGUUAGUUUGGCACUGCCUUAUUGAUCUUUUUUAUUUUUUUAUUAUGUUUUUUUUUAAGUUUUAUUGACAUGACUCGAACAAUUUGUUUGUUCUUUAAUUUCUUCUACCCCAAUCUUUUUUGUUAACUAUCUCCAUGUUUCUUGUGUUUCUGAUUCAUCAGAUGAUUAAUUAGGCUUACGACAUGCUCUAUUUUUACAAACUUUUAGAAGUUCCACACUUCGUAUGUAUAUAAUUUAAAAUAAUAUUUUUCGAUAACAACACAAUAUAUAUAUAUAUAUAUAAAUCUUAAAAAUAAAACAUAUUUUAAAAAUAAGAUAAUUUAUUAUAUAUAUUGUGUUGUUAUCGAGAAAUAAUAUUUUAAAAAUUAAAAUGUAAAAAACUUUGAUUAAAAUUAAUUGAGUAAAAACAUUUGAAUCAGGAUAUUUUAUAAAAUAUUUUUAACAUAUGAGUGUUUAAAAUUUUAUACAAUAAUAAAAAUCUAAAUUGACGACUAAAAAAAAAAUCUAAAUUAAUUGAAUUUUUCCAUAUAUUAUCAUACAGGCUUUUGAAUUAAUAAAUUAUAAAUUAAUAAGCAUUCGUAAAAAAAUUAUAUUAAAAAAUUAUGCUCGCAUGUGUAGGCAAAAUACCUAUUAUAAUUUGUUUGUUAGUAGCAUAUGACACAUCUGUGUGAUUUUAUUUUAUUUAAACCCAAUUCUAUACUUUUUUAUUUAAUCAAAUUCAAAUGUAAUCUAAAUAAGUAGUUAAUUACAAACACAAUUCGAUAGGAAACAAAUUUCUGGGAAUAAAAUUGUUGAUUAGCAUUAAUUGGGUAUAUUGUAAGUCUACGUUAGGCAUAAAAAAGGAGAAUUCAAAAUCAAAAAUGCUGAACUCAGCAAAUUACAAAUUAAAAUUUUGGUUUAGCACGUGAAGUCUACUAACUCACGUUACGGUCUCAUUAAUUAAAUUAGAUUUCCUAGUUAAAUACUAAUAAACUGAAAACCCUAAUUUCAUUUUUCUUCUCCUCUGACGGCGUUUUAUCUAUUCUUUCUUAUCUCAUUUUAUCAGAGGUAGUUCCCCCUCUCUAGUAUCUUGCGAUGCCAAAGACACCAAGCAAGUCUUCUUGUGCUUAAAGGUCUCUCUCUGUUUGAUUCGUUUUUGGGUCCUGAAUUGAUCUGAGUUUCACGCUUGGGUUUAGUUAAUUUAAUUCCUAUCGUUGUCUCUCAGAUCUGUCUAGGAACCAUCUGAUGAUUUUAUGUCUUUAAUUUAACGUUUUACCCUCCCACUGACUUCUUGUCUAGGAGUAGUUUUAACGGAGAUAUGUGGUUUCAUGAUGACGUUCCGCAUCAUGCCGAUUGGUGUAAAUUUCUCGCUCUCUGUUUUUGGUGAAGCCCACAGAACCUCUCUUUCUCUUUCUGUAUGAAUCUUUUGGUGGGCUCCUCGUCGGUGAUACACGGGGUGGUCUCUCCUCGGUGGUUCAGACAGAGCGGCAAGGCAGUGUCGGCUAGGUCUCCUCUGUUCUUCAUCUUUGCUUCACAGACCAGUCGUCGGUGCUCCUCAAAUUAAAAGUGUAAAUCAUCAUGUCGCCUCUUCUACUCCUAUGCUCUUCAAUCUUGCUGCUUUUUUUUUGAGCAACAGUCGUCGUCUAUUCAUUAAACUAAUUUGGACGUUUGUUUCAUCUGUUAUAAGUGUCAUUGCCCAACUCUAAAAAGACUACCGUUGGUGCUUAAGGCCCAGAAUAGCCCACUUACACAAAUAUUUCCGUUUUAAAUUUCGUCGAGCAACUUAUUACAUUACUGAAACGCAUCUUUUUUUGUUGAAGGACAUGUGUCGCUCUCAGGAUGCACGAAUUGAUGACGUGGCAUCACAGGAGAGAGGCAAACAUAUUUAUAUAUAUAUAGAUUUUUGUGUUUUUUUCUGUACAAUUAACUUUUCAGUUAAAAUUUUAUGACUGUGGGUUCAUUUGUGAACACAUUUGUAAACCAACAAUCAAAGCCUAUAAAGUUAGAAUUUCCCCUAUAACUUUCAGAUAGUAACUUUUGUUAAAGAAGUUACUAUCUGAAAGUUAUAACUUUCAGAUAGUAACUGAUUAGCUCAUUUUCAAAAAAAAAGAAAAAUUUAUGAUUUUGUUUUUGUUUUGGUUUGUUUUUGC
rnacentral:lncRNA from 1 species